rnacentral:rRNA from 1 species
GAUGAACGCUGGCGGCGUGCCUAAUACAUGCAAGUCGAGCGAACAGACGAGGAGCUUGCUCCUCUGACGUUAGCGGCGGACGGGUGAGUAACACGUGGAUAACCUACCUAUAAGACUGGGAUAACUUCGGGAAACCGGAGCUAAUACCGGAUAAUAUAUUGAACCGCAUGGUUCAAUAGUGAAAGACGGUUUUGCUGUCACUUAUAGAUGGAUCCGCGCCGCAUUAGCUAGUUGGUAAGGUAACGGCUUACCAAGGCAACGAUGCGUAGCCGACCUGAGAGGGGGAUCGGCCACACGGGAACUGAGACACGGUCCAGACUCCUACGGGAGGCAGCAGUAGGGAAUCGUCCGCAAUGGGCGAAAGCCUGACGGAGCAACGCCGCGUGAGUGAUGAAGGUCUUCGGAUCGUAAAACUCUGUUAUUAGGGAAGAACAAAUGUGUAAGUAACUAUGCACGUCUUGACGGUACCUAAUCAGAAAGCAACGGCUAACUACGUG